rnacentral:rRNA from 1 species
GACGAACGCUGGCGGCGUGCUUAACACAUGCAAGUCGAACGAAGUGGCGAACGGGUGAGUAACGCGUAAUCAACCUGCCCUUCAGAGGGGGACAACAGUUGGAAACGACUACUAAUACCGCAUACUGAAGGAGGGGCUUGCGUCGGAUUAGCUAGUUGGGGGGGUAAAGGCCCACCAAGGCGAUGAUCAGUAGCCGGUCUGAGGGGAGGAACGGCCACAUUGUGACGGGGACACGGGCCAGACUCCUACGGGAGGCAGCAGUUGGGAAUCUUCCGCAAUGGACGAAAGUCUGACGGAGCAACGCCGCGUGAGUGAUGACGGCCUUCGGGUUGUAAAGCUCUGUUAAUCGGGACGCGGUACCGGAAUAGAAAGCCACGGCUAACUACGUGCCAGCCGCCGCGGUAAUUC